CAGUGGAGUAGGGAGAAAGGCCAAGACUGAGAUAGCUGCUAUGUAGUCACUGGGAGCUUGGAGAAGGACAUCCAGCUGAGAUAGAAAAGCCAGGGAGUAGAGAAGGCAUCCCACAGGAAACCAAGGUCUAAACCUCAAUGGCUUGUUGAAUUUCAUUCUUCCAUUGCAAGAGAACUGAAGGCAGGCUCAUAGCUGCUUAACUAGGGCCUACAUUUCCCAGAAUUCCUAGCAGCUAGUAAUGAUCAUGUGACUAAGUUGUCACAAUAAAGUGAGCAGAAAUCAUAUGGACCACUUCCAGGUCCUGACUUCAAAGCAACCUAGUGGGCCUUCUCCAUCCUGCAGGCACUUCAAUAGGGCAACAAUGGAAAAUGAACAAGCAUCAUUAAACUGAGAUGGUUGCUGAGAUCCAAUGUACCCUCAGCACCAUGCCAGAUACUACUGUGUACACACAUCGAAGAAGCAGCCACAGCAGGUUUUGGAAGAGUGCAACAUACCUGUCUGGGGACUUGACCAGCUUAACAUUCAAGAGCACGUGGAAUACACACCUCAUUCCUCAUUUAUCCCACAGCUUCAUUGAACAGUCCCCACUAAGUAUGUGCCAGUAAAGGUUUGCUUUA